rnacentral:lncRNA from 1 species
UUUGCAUGCUUCUUUCCCUCUCUCUCUUUAGACUCGGUCGUACGUGGUAGAGUUGCCGUUGGAGCUCGGAUCGACGCCGACGUCGCGCCGGGGAGCCGUUCGAGCGUGUGUUCGUCGUAGUGGCGUCGUCGGGAGGCCGGGCGAGCGUGUGGUUCCGCUGUUUUCGACUUCGCGCCGGAUUGGGAGUAGCUUUUGAGGUGGGUUAAUCGUCGAUUUGCUUUCUAAGUAGCUAUAUAGUCGACAUGUGUUCAUCGGGUUGUUUAGUAUAUAGAAAUUGCUCGAUUCAUGGAUUUCGUGUUUAUAUAGUCAAAAUCUGAAUUGGAGGCUCGUCUUUUGAUUAUAUCUAGUUGCACAUGUUGGACUUGGAUAUGACUUAGGAGAAAACGGCGAUUAUAAC